rnacentral:rRNA from 1 species
GACGAACGCUGGCGGCGUGCUUAACACAUGCAAGUCGAACGGAAAGGCCCUGCUUUUGUGGGGUGCUCGAGUGGCGAACGGGUGAGUAACACGUGAGUAACCUGCCCUUGACUUUGGGAUAACUUCAGGAAACUGGGGCUAAUACCGGAUAGGAGCUCCUGCUGCAUGGUGGGGGUUGGAAAGUUUCGGCGGUUGGGGAUGGACUCGCGGCUUAUCAGCUUGUUGGUGGGGUAGUGGCUUACCAAGGCUUUGACGGGUAGCCGGCCUGAGAGGGUGACCGGCCCAAUGGGGACGAGAUAACGGCCCAGAUCCCUAGGGGAGGCAGGAGUGGGGAAUAUUGGACAAGGGGGGGAGGCAUGACGCAGCAAGCCCGGGGGGGGGAUGACGGCCUUGGGGUGGUAACCCGUUUUAGCCGUGGAAGAAGCGGGAGGGAAGGAAAUGGGGAAAGAAGCACCGGCCAACUACGU